rnacentral:rRNA from 1 species
CCCCUAGUAACUGCGAGUGAAGCGGGAAAAGCUCAAAUUUAAAAUCUGGCGGCCUUCGGUCGUCCGAGUUGUAGUCUGGAGAAGCGUCUUCCGCGCUGGACCGUGUACAAGUCUCUUGGAACAGAGCGUCGUAGAGGGUGAGAAUCCCGUCUUUGACACGGACUACCAGUGCUUUGUGAUGCGCUCUCAAAGAGUCGAGUUGUUUGGGAAUGCAGCUCAAAACGGGUGGUAAAUUCCAUCUAAAGCUAAAUAUUGGCGAGAGACCGAUAGCGAACAAGUACCGUGAGGGAAAGAUGAAAAGCACUUUGGAAAGAGAGUUAAACAGUACGUGAAAUUGCUGAAAGGGAAACGCUUGAAGUCAGUCGCGUCGUCCAGAACUCAACCUGGCUUUUGCUUGGUGCACUUUCUGGUUGACGGGCCAGCAUCAGUUUCGAUCGUCGGACAAAGUCCUUUGGAAUGUGGCACCUUCGGGUGUGUUAUAGCCUUGGGUCGUAUACGAUGGUUGGGACUGAGGACCGCAGCACGCCUUUUGGCCGGGGUUCGCCCACGUACGUGCUUAGGAUGCUGGCGUAAUGGCUUUAAACGACCCGUCUUGAAACACGGACCAAGGAGUCUAACAUAUGUGCGAGUGUUUGGGUGGAAAACCCGAGCGCGUAAUGAAAGUGAAAGUUGGGAUCUCUGUCGCGGAGAGCACCGACGCCCAUACCAGACCUUCUGUGACGGAUAUGCGGUUGAGCAUGUAUGUUGGGACCCGAAAGAUGGUGAACUAUGCCUGAAUAGGGUGAAGCCAGAGGAAACUCUGGUGGAGCUCGUAGCGAUUCUGACGUGCAAAUCGAUCGUCAAAUUUGGGUAUAGGGGCGAAAGACUAAUCGAACCAUCUAGUAGCUGGU